UACAGAGGUCCCAAGCGUUGUUCGGAUUCACUGGGCGUAAAGGGUGCGUAGGUGGUGAGGUAAGUCGGAUGUGAAAGCUCGGAGCUCAACUCCGAAACUGCAUUCGAUACUGCCGUGCUUGAGGACUGGAGAGGAGACUGGAAUUUACGGUGUAGCGGUGAAAUGCGUAGAUAUCGUAAGGAAGACCAGUGGCGAAGGCGGGUCUCUGGACAGUUCCUGACGCUGAGGCACGAAGGUCAGGGGAGCAAACGGG
rnacentral:rRNA from 1 species